GGGUGCGUAGGCUGCACGGAAAGUUGGGUGUGAAAGCCCUCAGCUCAACUGAGGAAUUGCAUCCAAAACUGCCGUGCUUGAGGGAGACAGAGGUGAGCGGAACUCAAGGUGGAGCGGUGAAAUGCGUUGAUAUCUUGAGGAACACCGGUGGCGAAAGCGGCUCACUGGGUCUCUUCUGACGCUGAGGCACGAAAGCUAAGGUAGCAAACGGGAUUAGAUACCCCGGUAGUCUUAGCUGUAAACGAUGAGCACUUGAUUGGAGGGUCCUCCAUAGCCUUCCAGUCGUAGCGAAAGUGUUAAGUGCUCCGCCUGGGGAGUAUGGUCGCAAGGCUGAAACUCAAAGAAAUUGACGGGGGCUCACACAAGCGGUGGAGGAUGUGGCUUAAUUCGAGGCUACGCGCAGAACCUUACCAACCCUUGACAUCCUGUGCUACAUCCAGAGAUGGAUGGUUCCCUUCGGGGACGCAGUGACAGGUGCUGCAUGGCU
rnacentral:rRNA from 1 species